AAGGUACUAGUAAAAAUAUAUUACAAUAUCUUGUCAAGAUAUAAUCACGAGCUAAUAACCCCGUGUACUUUA
rnacentral:tRNA from 1 species